rnacentral:rRNA from 1 species
UAGGGAAUCUUCCGCAAUGGACGCAAGUCUGACGGAGCAACGCCGCGUGAGUGAAGAAGGAUUUCGGUUCGUAAAACUCUGUUGCUAGAGAAGAACAGCGCAUAGAGUAACUGUUAUGCGUGUGACGGUAUCUAACCAGAAAGCCACGGCUAACUACGUGCCAGCAGCCGCGGUAAUACGUAGGUGGCAAGCGUUGUCCGGAUUUAUUGGGCGUAAAGCGAGCGCAGGCGGUCAAUUAAGUCUGAUGUGAAAGCCCCCGGCUCAACCGGGGAGGGUCAUUGGAAACUGGUUGACUUGAGUGCAGAAGAGGAGAGUGGAAUUCCAUGUGUAACGGUGAAAUGCGUAGAUAUAUGGAGGAACACCAGUGGCGAAGGCGACUCUCUGGUCUGUAACUGACGCUGAGGCUCGAAAGCGUGGGUAGCAAACAGG